rnacentral:misc_RNA from 1 species
GGCAUCAAUUCUGAGACAUCUGUUGUAUCUCAGCUAUGUGAUAGGCUUGAAAGAACAGUGAGUGAUGCCCAGGGGUUUCCUUCAGUUGACAGACAGAGAGAUAUCCUCAACCAGUCCCAGAUAUUUAAUCUAGUCUGGGUUGGCCGCUACAAAUUGGCAGCUGUAGGGCCAGAACAAAUAGAACGUAUUCUGGGCUACCCAGAAAAUCACACUCGAGUUGCUGC